GAUGAAGAACGCAGCGAAAUGCGAUACUUGGUGUGAAUUGCAGAAUCCCGUGAACCAUCGAGUCUUUGAACGCAAGUUGUGCCCGAAGCCAUCAGGUUGAGGGCACGUCUGCCUGGGCGUCACAUAUCGUUGCCCAAUGCCUAUUGCAGUGCAAUAGGAAUUUCUAGGGCGAAUGAUGGCUUCCCGUGAGCGUUGUUGCCUCGCGGUUGGUUGAAAAUCGAGUCCUUGGUAGGGUGUGCCAUGGUAGAUGGUGGUCGAGUUAGAACGAUACCGAUCAUGUGCAUGCUCCCCAAAAUAUGGCCUCUAUGACCCACACGCGUCUUUUGACGCUCAUGACGAGACCUCAGGUCAGGCGGGGCUACCCGCUGAAUUUAAGCAUAUCAAUAAGCGGAGGA
rnacentral:misc_RNA from 1 species